ACACAGCUGAGGAGUCCCAAAUUGAACGAAACGCGUGUCCUGGAU
rnacentral:hammerhead_ribozyme from 1 species